GUCAUAUGCUUGUCUCAAAGAUUAAGCCAUGCAUGUCUAAGUAUGAGAGGUUUGAAUACUCUGAAACUGCGAAUGGCUCAUUACAUCAGUAACAAUUUCUUUGAUGGUCCCCUUGCUACUCGGAUACCCGUAGAAAAUCUAGAGCUAAUACGUGCACGAAGGCCCGACCCUCGGGAAGGGCUGCAGCUAUUAGAUACAAGACCGACCGCCUUUGGCGACCCCCGGUGAAUCAUGAUGGCUUUGCGGAUCGCAGAGCGCCUCGCGCGCGGCGACGUAUCAUUCAAGUUUCUGCCCUAUCAACUUUGGACGGUAGGAUAGAGGCCUACCGUGGUGGUGACGGGUGACGGAGAAUCAGGGUUCGAUUCCGGAGAGGGAGCCUGAGAAACGGCUACCACAUCCAAGGAAGGCAGCAGGCGCGCAAAUUACCCAAUCCUGACGCAGGGAGGUAGUGACAAUACGUAGCGAUGCCGAACUUUCAGUUUGGCAAUCGAAAUGAGGGCAAACUAAACCCCACACCGAGGAUCUAUUGGAGGGCAAGUCUGGUGCCAGCAGCCGCGGUAAUUCCAGCUCCAAGAGCGUAUAUAAAAGUUGCUGCAGUUAAAAAGCUCGUAGUUGGAUGUAGACGGUCGCUCGCGAGGCGGUCCCGGUUUUCCGGAGCACCCCUUCGGCGUCCUCUGGCUGGCGAGCGUCGCGGCUGGGCUUCACCGCUCGGCCGCGGGCCUCGCCGUGGUUACUUUGAGUAAAUUGGAGUGUUCAAAGCAGGCGUUCGCCGUGGACACGUUAGCAUGGA
rnacentral:rRNA from 1 species